UGGGGAAUAUUGCACAAUGGGCGCAAGCCUGAUGCAGCCAUGCCGCGUGUAUGAAGAAGGCCUUCGGGUUGUAAAGUACUUUCAGCGGGGAGGAAGGGAGUAAAGUUAAUACCUUUGCUCAUUGACGUUACCCGCAGAAGAAGCACCGGCCAACUCCGUGCCAGCAGCCGCGGUAAUACGGAGGGUGCAAGCGUUAAUCGGAAUUACUGGGCGUAAAGCGCACGCAGGCGGUUUGUUAAGUCAGAUGUGAAAUCCUCGGGCUCAACCUGGGAACUGCAUCUGAUACUGGCAAGCUUGAGUCUCGUAGAGGGGGGUAGAAUUCCAGGUGUAGCAGUGAAAUGCGUAGAGAUCUGGAGGAAUACCGGUGGCGAAGGCGGCCCCCUGGACGAAGACUGACGCUCAGGUGCGAAAGCGUGGGGAGCAAACAGG
rnacentral:rRNA from 1 species